rnacentral:rRNA from 1 species
ACGUAGGGUGCAAGCGUUAAUCGGAAUUACUGGGCGUAAAGCGUGCGCAGGCGGUUGUGCAAGACAGGUGUGAAAGCCCCGGGCCCAACCUGGGAAUGGCAAUGGAUACUGGCAAGCUAGAGUGCGGUAGAGGGUAGUGGAAUUCCCGGUGUAGCGGUGAAAUGCGUAGAGAUCGGGAGGAACACCAGUGGCGAAGGCGGCCACCUGGACCAGCACUGACACUGAGGCACGAAAGCGUGGGGAGCAAACAGGA